rnacentral:rRNA from 1 species
UACUAGAGUAGCACUCGCAUAUCAAUAAGCGGAGGAAAAGAAACUAACAAGGAUUCCCCUAGUAACGGCGAGUGAAGCGGGAAGAGCUCAAAUUUGAAAUCUUAAAGGGUUUCCCUUUACGAAUUGUAGUUUAAAGAAGUGUUUUCUGUUGAGGUUUUGGUAAAAGUUCUUUGGAAUAGGACAUCAUAGAGGGUGAGAAUCCCGUAUUUGACCUUUACUUUCAACUUUGUGAUACACUUUCAAAGAGUCGGAUUGUUUGGGAAAUGCAGUCCAAAAUGGGUGGUAAAUUUCAUCUAAAGCUAAAUAUUGGCGAGAGACCGAUAGCGAACAAGUACCGUGAGGGAAAGAUGAAAAGAACUUUGAAAAGAGAGUUAAACAGUACGUGAAAUUGUCAAAAGGGAAGCGUUUGACACCAGUGUUGUUUUUCUGAAAAUCAAUUAAAGAACUGUUUAUGCUAAGUUGUUUAGACUUUAUCAGCUAACUGUUUAGUUUUGAGCUUUUCUUUAAUGCACUUUUCAGUUAACAAGUCAACAUCAAUUUCUUUUGCUGUAAAAAAGCUUGAGGAAGGUGGCUUGAGAUUCGUCUUAAGUGUUUAUAGCCUCUUGCCUAUGCAGUCGGAGAGAUUGAGGUCUGCAGCGUAGAUCCUUCGGGGCUAAAUGCAUUUGUGCUAAGUUAUAGCAUUUUAUAGACAACUUGUUGACUAUGAUUUGUCUUGUAGCUUACUCGCUUAUGUUAUUUUACCUACGCUUAGGAUGUUGAGCGCAUGUCUCUCUCU